GCUUUAGCCAUCACUUCCCCAGUCCCCUCAGCCCCAGGCUACCAGCCCUAGACAACCCAUAAUCUAUUUCCUUUCUGAAUAGAUUUCCCUGUUCCAGACAUUUCAUAUAAAUGGAAUCGUACAUGUGGUCUUUUGUGACUGGCUUCUUUCACUUAGAAUAAUGUUCCCACGGUUUCUCGGUAUCGUAGCGUGUCAGAACUUCAUUCCUUUCUAUGGCCAAAUAGAAAUAUUCUCAUUCUCCCUAUCUUUCAAAGUUCAGAUGAAUCUUCGCCUUCUCCAGGAAGGCUCUGUAGUUCCUCAGGCUCUUCUAGACCUCUCCCUGGGAUAUUUUCAGUGUAGCAUGCAAUUGUCCCUGUGUCCUUUCUUCCCUGUCAGAUGGGGUCCCAGGCCAGUUCCCCAGGAAGCAGGCUCUUGCACACAAGAAGUUUACCGGAGAUGCCCUCAUGCCCAGGCUCCUGGGCGAGUGACAGGCGCAAGAGUGGGCAGAGGGAGAAGAUGAACUGCAGCUCUGCAACCUUGGUCUCAGCCAACCUCCAGAAGCACUAACACCGGAGCGCUAACAUGGGAGCACUUUCAGAGCUGGGCAAAGACUGGGCGUUUCUACCCCCUCGUCGAGUCACUGGAGGCAGCUGGUCCUGGAAGAAGGCGUGAUCUUGGGCCACUUGUCUCUCUUCAGCCCAGGGCAAAUCCUGGAGAGGGACUCAGCUGAGGGCCGCGGCUAGCAGUGCCUCCAGUGACUCAGGGAAAUUAGGACAUCAUGGCGUCCACUGUGGACUGGAAGCCCCUUGAAGUUGGGGGCCAUGUCGUUCUUCCUACUUGCCUCUCCCCUCCCCUAGCACCUGAGUUUUGUUCAAAAUCGGGCUCUGGAGUCAGGCAGUAAUGGAUUCAAAUCUCAGCUCUGUAGCAUAUUAUCUGAGGAACCAUAGAAAUGCUCCAAAUUCCUUUAAGCCUGAGCGUCCUCACCUAUGAAAUGGGGCUAAUAACAGUUCCUACCUUACAAAGUCGCUGGGAAUACUGAGUUGAUAUUUGAAAAGUGUUUAACAAAAUUGGUACGUGUAUGUGUAUGUGUGUGUGUGUUAGUUGCUCAGCUGUGUUUGAAUCUUGCCAACCCCAUGGACUGUAGUCCACCUGGAUCCUCUGUCUAUGGGAUUCUCCAGAGACAGAGGCUCCUGGUAGGAGGCCGUCUAUGGGAUCGCACAGAGUCGGACACUACUAAAGCGACUUAGCAGCAGCAGCAGCAGCAGUAGCACAGAACUGGUGGAGAAGGAAAUGGCAACCCACUCCAGUAUUCUUGCCUAGAGAAUCCCAGGGACAGAGGAGCCUGGUGGGCUGCCGUCUAUGGGGUCGCACAGAGUCGGACACGAUUGAAAUGACUUAGCAGCAGCAGCAGCGUGUGAAACUGCUUGGUACUAGGAGACAUUCUCCCACAGGAUGGGUUAAGGUGGGAGGCGGAGCCUCCAGUUCCCUGAGAAAUGCCAAGUCCAGCAGAGGCGUCUUUUCGUUCUUGUCCACUAGGGGGCAGCACUUAACUGUGCUGGCCACUGGCUCUCCCCGCUGGAACCUGAAUCUCGAGUGACCCAAAGAGGCAGAGGCUGUUCCGACUGGUAGCCGCUGAAUUGCUGGUGUAAUGACUGUGACCGGGAGUGUCCCCUGGUGCCAAGAGUGAUGUCUCAAUCAAGCUUUUCUUGUGGCAUGACCGUGACUGUUAACUUGGUCUUGCCUCUUUUUCUGCUUCUUAAUUUUCUAAGCAAUGGCUUCCCAGGUGGUGCUAGUGGUAGGCUUUCAUCCCUGGGUCAGGAAGAUCCCCUGGAGGAGAAAAAUGGCAACCCACUCCAGUAUUCUUGCCUGGAGGAAUUCCAUGGGCAAAGGAGCCUGGCACCUACAAUCCACAAGGCUGCAAAGAGUCAGAUACGACUGAGAGACUUAGCACAAUACUUUCAGUAAGGAUUUGGUAUUUUCUCUUAGGUUGGCCAGGGUUGAUUUCUCUCUCUCUCUGUCAGUUUAGUGGCAGCUUGGGGUUUCACAUGUCACGUGAUUCUCAGCCUAUUUUUCCUAUAUCACCGCCAUCUCACAUCCACUCGACUUGACUUUAAUCACCUCUGUUACUGGAAUAUCUUACAGUAUUAGUUUUCUGUGGCUAAUUAACAACAAAGUACCCAAAACUUAAACAAUGUGAAUGUAUCUUAGAGUUCUGCAGGUUGGAUGUCUUAUACAGGUCUCACUGGGCCAAAAUCAAGGUGUCAGCCAGGCUGCUCUUCAUUCUGGAGGGUCUGGGGGAGAAUCCAUUUCCUUUAUCUUUUCUGGCUUCUAGAAGUUGCUCAUGUUCCUUGACUCAUGGCCCCUCUUCCUCCACCUGCAAAGCCAGCAGUAGUCGGUUAUGUCUUUCUUCCAUUGAAUCACUCACUGUUCUUUC
ensembl:lncRNA